GUAGCAAUAGCUCAGCUGGAUAGAGCAACGGUCUUCUAAACCGUAGGUCGAGGGUUCGAACCCCUCUUGCUACA
rnacentral:tRNA from 1 species